rnacentral:rRNA from 1 species
UGGGAAACAGGUUAAUAUUCCUGUACUUGGUGUUACUGCGAAGGGGGGACGGAGAAGGCUAUGUUGGCCGGGCGACGGUUGUCCCGGUUUAAGCGUGUAGGCUGGUUUUCCAGGCAAAUCCGGAAAACUAAGGCUGAGGCGUGAUGACGAGGCACUACGGUGCUGAAGCAACAAAUGCCCUGCUUCCAGGAAAAGCCUCUAAGCAUCAGGUAACAUCAAAUCGUACCCCAAACCGACA